rnacentral:rRNA from 1 species
UAACGCGUGGGAAUCUGCCUAUCAGUGGGGAAUAACGACGGGAAACUGUCGCUAAUACCGCAUACGCCCUUAGGGGGAAAGAUUUAUCGCUGAUAGAUGAGCCCGCGUACGAUUAGCUAGUUGGUGAGGUAAUGGCUCACCAAGGCAACGAUCGUUAGCUGGUCUGAGAGGAUGAUCAGCCACACUGGGACUGAGACACGGCCCAGACUCCUACGGGAGGCAGCAGUGGGGAAUAUUGGACAAUGGGCGAAAGCCUGAUCCAGCAAUGCCGCGUGAGUGAUGAAGGCCUUAGGGUUGU